rnacentral:rRNA from 1 species
AUACGUAGGGGGCGAGCGUUGUCCGGAAUGAUUGGGCGUAAAGGGCGCGUAGGCGGCCCGGUAAGUCUGGAGUGAAAGUCCUGUUUUUAAGAUGGGAAUUGCUUUGGAUACUGUCGGGCUUGAGUGCAGGAGAGGUAAGUGGAAUUCCCAGUGUAGCGGUGAAAUGCGUAGAGAUUGGGGGGAACACCAGUGGCGAAGGCGACUUACUGGACUGUAACUGACGCUGAGGCGCGAAAGUGUGGGGAGCAAACAGGAUUAGAUACCCUGGUAGUCCACACUGUAAACGAUGAAUGCUAGGUGUAGGGGGUAUCGACCCCUUCUGUGCCGCAGUCAACACAAUAAGCAUUCCGCCUGGGGAGUACGGCCGCAAGGUUGAAACUCAAAGGAAUUGACGGGG